rnacentral:lncRNA from 1 species
UUUUUUUUUUGGUUUGUGUUUUGUUGGCACUAAAGAUUUGAGCUUGAUGGAUUUGGUAAAGGAUUGAGUUUAUGGGUUUGCUAUAGAUUUGAGCUUGAUGGGUUUGCAAGCAUUGUCGAUGGGGUUGUUUUUAUUCAAUGAGUUUUGCAGAUCUGGGUUUGUUUGCAUGAUAUAGUUCUGGUUUUUUGCCUAGUUGAGAAGGAAUGCCAUUAUUUUAGUGACAUAGCUUUGUUAACAUUCAGAAAACUUGGAAACUAUGGGGAAUUCAAUUGUUGUAGUUGUUAUGAUGGUUGAAUCUGCCUUGUUUGAGGAAGCUGAGUUUGAUUACUCUAUGGUAUCUUUUGUCNNNNNNNNNNNNNNNNNNNNAAUAUUGUCUCAUCAAAGUGACAAUCCGCAAUUUAGCGGUGAAUGAGAUCGCCUGACAAGGUUCCUACAUAUGCGGAUUAUAGGUGGAGGUUCAUAUCCAACCUAAACUUAUUCAUCUCAAAUGACCCAUCAUUGUACACAGUGGCAAUGUGAUUUGGCACCUAGAAAUAACAUCUAGCUGAGCUCAAGGAUUGGAGAUCCGUUUCAAUCCUGCCGGGCUCAAGGAUUGCAAUUUCGUGUCAAUCCUGGUACACAGUCACGAGCUGUAGUACAACUAAAUUCAAUGAUGGUGGGUCGUAGAUGAAUAGUAAAGCUGCAUCCAAAUAUUGCAUAGCCCCAAGACGCAAUAGAAAGAGUGGUGCGCAUCAAUAAUGUUCGAGCGACAAGCUAAAGUUGCUUGGUCGUAGCCUCGGUGAGACCAUAUUGCGUGUGAACAUGGGGUACAUGACACUUCAACUUACAUCCCGAUGAACUUCUUUAAAGAAUGGGUAGUGAUCCCGUAGAAGUAUAAGCAGCAUAAGCAGUAGAUAAUAAUGUAACACGUGACCAGUGUGCUAACACUUCAACCAACACCAUAAAGCAUAAAAGGUGUCCGCAAGUUGGUUGUAUCUAUCUACAUAAUUUUAUGUAAGAAUAGAAUGUUCACUUUUGUGUUAUUUAGCAUAGGAGGGUCUCACUCCUAAUUUAGCUAAAGAAUAGGCUUUCAAAACGAGCAAUGAGCAUUGCAGGGGGCCAAUGCGACAUCGAGGAAAGGCCGAUGCACCUCAAUUGCUUGAGGAAUUGACCGGACGACCUCCAAAAAGUUGGAGUCGUGUUCGGGUGACGUCAAUGUCCCCCGGGUCACCACCAUGCUUCAUGGUGAUGCUAGGUCUCGAAUGUCUUCGUUUUGAGCGGAAGAAUGGAUGUCCAUGAGAAUUUCUCAAAAUUUGGAUCAUUAUAUCUCUUCCAAGUUGACCAAUUUAGUCAAACCAAAGCCUAUAUGAGUCAGUGUCCCAAAUAUCAUGUUUGGCGACAACAUGGGAUUCGAUAUUCGAAUCAUAGUGACAUACAGUCCACUAGAUUGACUCAUGAAUUUCUCCAAGAUGCGCUUCAGUCCGCAUUCAUGAGAAGGUAUACACAAAAGAAUUCUUGUUCAUUCUCACAAUGUGUUUUUAAAUGUAAAAACCAUUAAGCAUGAAUGUCUUUAAAGCUUCAACAUGGUUCCUUAGAAUGUUNNNNNNNNNNNNNNNNNNNNAGGCUCUCUCGUAUGUUUGCCGAUCCUACCCAGUCUCAGCCUCUUCUGUUGUUGACGAUGAAAUCCCAGGUGAGUUUUAUCUCAUCAUUGUAUCUAAAGUGUUUGUCUUUUUUUUUUUUGGUUUGUGUUUUGUUGGCACUAAAGAUUUGAGCUUGAUGGGUUUGGUAAAGGAUUGAGUUUAUGGGUUUGCUAUAGAUUUGAGCUUGAUGGGUUUGCAAGCAUUGUCAAUGGGGUUGUUGUUAUUCAAUGAGUUUUGCAGAUCUGGGUUUGUUUGCAUGAUAUAGUUCUGGUUUUUGUCUAGUUGAGAAGGAAUGCCAUUAUUUUAGUGACAUAGCUUUGUUAACAUUCAGAAAACUUGGAAACUAUGGGGAAUUCAAUUGUUGUAGUUGUUAUGAUGGUUGAAUCUGCCUUGUUUGAGCAAGCUGAGUUUGAUUACUCUAUGGUAUCUUUUGUCUUUGGACAAAACUAAGCUCCAUUUGUAAUUAUGUUCACUUGCUGUGUUUACAGUCAGUGCAAGCUAAAAUUAUGGUUUUGUUAUUUUGUUUGCCUUUGUUGUUGAGAAUGGUAUGAGUUGGGG